rnacentral:ncRNA from 1 species
GAAAAGCAUAAUAGAGAAGCUGGUUAAAGGCCAGCACGGUCCCGCCACUGUAUGGUUGAGCGAGUCUAAUUAAGUCACUGGGAAACUGGGAAGGCUAGAUGAGCGUUGACACCGAGUCAGGAGAACUGCCUAUUCAA